rnacentral:rRNA from 1 species
AGUGAACGCUGGCGGUAGGCCUAACACAUGCAAGUCGAGCGGCAGCACAGUAAGAGCUUGCUCUUACGGGUGGCGAGUGGCGGACGGGUGAGGAAUACAUCGGAAUCUACUUUUUCGUGGGGGAUAACGUAGGGAAACUUACGCUAAUACCGCAUACGACCUACGGGUGAAAGCAGGGGAUCUUCGGACCUUGCGCGAUUGAAUGAGCCGAUGUCGGAUUAGCUAGUUGGCGGGGUAAAGGCCCACCAAGGCGACGAUCCGUAGCUGGUCUGAGAGGAUGAGCAGCCACACGGGAACUGAGACACGGUCCAGACGCCUACGGGAGGCAGCAGUGGGAAAUAUGGGACAAGGGGGGCAAGCCUGAUCCAGCCAUACCGCGUGGGUGAAGAAGGCCUUCGGGUUGUAAAGCCCUUUUGUGGGGAAAGAAAAGCAGCAGGUUAAUACCCCGCUGUUCUGACGGUACCCAAAGAAUAAGCACCGGCUAACUGCGU